GGGCGCUCGAGUGGCGAACGGGUGAGUAACACGUGAGUAACCUGCCCUUGACUUUGGGAUAACUUCAGGAAACUGGGGCUAAUACCGGAUAGGAGCUCCUGCUGCAUGGUGGGGGUUGGAAAGUUUCGGCGGUUGGGGAUGGACUCGCGGCUUAUCAGCUUGUUGGUGGGGUAGUGGCUUACCAAGGCUUUGACGGGUAGCCGGCCUGAGAGGGUGACCGGCCACAUUGGGACUGAGAUACGGCCCAG
rnacentral:rRNA from 1 species